UACGUAGGGAGCAAGCGUUGUCCGGACUCAUUGGGCGUAAAGCGCGCGUAGGUGGCCUCAUAAGUCCGCUGUGAAAGUCAAAGGCUCAACCUUUGAAAGCCGGUGGAUACUGUGGGGCUAGAGUACGGAAGAGGCGAGUGGAAUUCCUGGUGUAGCGGUGGAAUGCGCAGAUAUCAGGAGGAACACCAAUAGCGAAGGCAGCUCGCUGGGACGUUACUGACACUGAGGCGCGAAAGCGUGGGGAGCGAACAGG
rnacentral:rRNA from 1 species